rnacentral:rRNA from 1 species
GAUGAACGCUGGCGGCGUGCCUAAUACAUGCAAGUCGAGCGAACAGACGAGGAGCUUGCUCCUCUGACGUUAGCGGCGGACGGGUGAGUAACACGUGGAUAACCUACCUAUAAGACUGGGAUAACUUCGGGAAACCGGAGCUAAUACCGGAUAAUAUCUUUAACCGCAUGGUUCAAUAGUGAAAGAUGGUUUUGCUGUCACUUAUAGAUGUAUCCGCGCGGCAUUAGCUAGUUGGUAAGGUAACGGCUUACCAAGGCAACGAUGCGUAGCCGACCUGAGAGGGUGAUCGGCAACACUGGAACUGAGACACGGUCCAGACUCCUACGGGAGGCAGCAGUAGGGAAUCUUCCGCAAUGGGCGAAAGCCUGACGGAGAAACGCCGCGUGAGUGAUGAAGGUCUUCGGAUCGAAAAACUCUGUUAUUAGGGAAGAACAAAUGUGUAAGUAACUAUGCACGUCUUGACGGUACCUAAUCAGAAAGCCACGGCUAACUACGUG